ACGUAGGGCGCGAGCGUUGUCCGGAAUUAUUGGGCGUAAAGAGCUCGUAGGCGGCUUGUUGCGUCGACUGUGAAAACCCGCGGCUCAACCGUGUGGCUUGCAGUCGAUACGGGCAGGCUAGAGUUCGGUAGGGGAGACUGGAAUUCCUGGUGUAGCGGUGAAAUGCGUAGAUAUCUGGAGGAACACCGGUGGCGAAGGCGGCAUCCUGGACCGGCAUUGACGCUGAGGCGCGAAAGCUAGGGGAGCAAACGGGA
rnacentral:rRNA from 1 species